AUCAGAUUUGGAAUAAAGGUUUUCCGCUAUAGGGAUGGGGAUGCGUCUGAUUAGCUUGUUGCGGGGUAACGGCCCACCAAGGCAACGAUCAGUAGGGGUUCUGAGAGGAAGGUCCCCCACAUUGGUACUGAGACACGGACCAAACUCCUACGGGAGGCAGCAGUGAGGAAUAUUGGUCAAUGGGCGGAAGCCUGAACCAGCCAAGUAGCGUGCAGGAAGACUGCCCUAUGGGUUGUAAACUGCUUUUAUCAGGGGAUAAAGUCACCCACGUGUGGGUGUUUGUAGGUACCUGAUGAAUAAGGACCGGCUAAUUCCGUGCC
rnacentral:rRNA from 1 species